rnacentral:lncRNA from 1 species
UGACCUCAAAGGGACCCAACCUCCUGGGUCUUAAUUUCUUACAACCUCCUUUGAACGGCAACCCUCGGGUUGACAGCCACACCCUAUCUCCAACCCUUAUGGUUUCACCUUCCCUUCGGUUCUUGUCUGCCUGCCUCUUGUAUUCUUCCUUCGCCCUUUCUAAGUUGAGUUGGAGCUGACGGUGGAUUGCUUCCAUUUCUUCUACAAAAUGCUCGGCUGCCGGUACGCUCCAUCUCUCCCCUUCUCCCCUGGGAAAGCCCUGGGAUGACACCCAUAAUUAGCCAAGAAGGGGCUCAUCCCUGUGGACACAUUCUCGGCAUUGUUGUAGGCAAAUUCCGCCAGCGCCAACUUUUCUACCCAGUCAUUCUCUCUGUCAUUGACAUAACACCUCAGGUAUUGCUGGAGGACACCGUUUGCUCUUUCCGCCUGCCCGUUGGUUUCAGGGUGCCGGGCAGUCGAAAGGUUGACCUCCACCUGCAGUAAGCUCAUGAGCUUCCUCCAGAACCUGGAAGUAAAUUGUUUUCCUCGGUCUGAGACCACCCUCAAUGGCACCCCGUGCAACCUAAAAAUGUGUUCUACAAAUAACUUCGCUGUCUCUUCCGCCGUGACUGCAUGCGAGCAAGCUACAAAGUGGCACAUCUUUGUUAGUAGGUCUACCACCACCAUGAUGGCUGUUUUCCCUUUGGACUUCGGCAGAUCAGUCAUAAAAUCUAUCGACACUGCCUCCCAAGGUCGUUCUGGUGUUGGUAAGGGUUCUAAUAGCCCCGCCGGCGCUCGCCUUUCCCCUUUGGCUCGCUGGCACUGCUCGCACCCUCUUACAUACUCACGUACAUCCUCCCUCACCUUAGGCCACCAAAAUUCCCUGGUGACCAACCACAUGGUUUUGUGUUGCCCAAAAUGCCCCGCCGUGGGGCUGUCAUGCAACUGCUUGAGUACCCUCCCCCUUAAGUCUCCUUCAGGGAUAUACAGUGCCCCUUUGUAAUACAAAGCUCCAUUUCUUUCCUCGAAACCCCUUGAUUCCUCUCCCUCAUCCCUAAGACCUCUGAGCUUAUUCUGGGCGUAUUCAUCAUUCUCUGUUUCUUCUACCAGUUCUCUUUGUCCCACCAAUGCCGCCCCACACACCCAGCGGUCCUCUGGAAUGACAUGUCUCUCUUCGGGUGCUCCCUCCCCCUCCAAAUAUUCAGGUUUGCGUGAGAGAGCGUCCGCCCUAAUGUUCUCUGGGCCUGGCACGUAACAAAUCUCAAAGUUAAAUUUGGAGAAUUCCUGGGCCCACCUCACUUGCCGUUGGUUGAGCACUCGUGCCGUCCUCCAAUACUCUAGGUUCUUGUGGUCAGUGCACACUUGCACCUUAUGUUGUGCGCCAAUUAGCAGGUGCCUCCAUCUCCGGAACGCCUCAUGAAUGGCUAGUAGUUCUCGGUCAUACACCGUGUAGUUCCUCUCGGAUUUGUUCAGCUUUCGCGAAAAAAAGCACACGGUCUCCACUCUGACUCCUCCUUCCCUGGCUGGAGAAGCACCGCCCCAACCGCUCUGUCUGAUGCGUCAGUUUCCACUCUCAUCGGUUUUUGUAAAUCCACAUGCAGGAGCUGUUGUUCCGAGGCGAAGGCCCUUUUUAGUUCCUCAAAUGCUUGCUCCGCCUCCUCCGUCCAAACGAACUUCUUCUUACUGCUGAGACAGUCCGUAAUGGGCGCCGUCAGGUGGGCAAAGUUUGGGAUGAACUUACGAUAGAAGUUCCCAAAUCCUAAAAACCUCUGCACAUCCUUCCUUGUUUUGGGUGUUUUCCAUUCCAGUACCGCCUGGACCUUGCCGGGAUCCAUGGCCAACCCCUUGUCAGACAGGCGAUACCCCAGGAAUUCCACCUCCUUGGUAUGAAACUGACACUUCUCCAGUUUCACCCACAGCUGGUUGGCUUGCAGCCUGCUCAACACUUCUCUGACGUCUCUCACAUGCUGCUCCUCAUUCUCAGAAUACACCAACACGUCGUCCAAGAAGGCCACACAAUUCUUGUAAAGCAACGGCCCCAGGACGUGGUUCAUAAACGAUUGAAAUGUUGCGGAGCCUGCUUGUAGACCGAAGGGCAUAACUAAGUAUUCAAAUGCCCCUAAAGGGGUGAACAUGGUGGUUUUCCAUUCAUCCCCCUUCCUUAUUCGUAUCAGGUUGUACGCCCCCCUUAGAUCCAGCUUGGUGAAAAUCUUUCCCUUCCGCACCCUUGUCAAAAUGUCGUCAAUCCUGGGCAUCGGGAAGGCCACUGGUUCUGACACUGCAUUUAAGGCCCUGAAGUCACACACCAGUCUCGGCUUGUUCGUGUUUUUGUCCACAAAAACACUGGGCUGCCCCACCGCCCUGGACUCUCUGAUGAACCCUCUCUUCAGGUUCUUGUCAAUGAACUCUCUUAGCUCCUGCAUCUCUCUGUCUGACAUGGCGUACAGCUUGCCCACAGGGAGCUGUGCCCCAGGGAGCAAAUUGAUUUGACAGUCAAAGGCUCUAUGCGGUGGUAGUUGGUCAGCUUCCCUUUCGCUGAAGACGUCGCGGAGAUCUGCGUAUUGUCGUGGUACCUUCACGUUCUCCGUUACUUCAGUCCCUGCUAGGGUGGCUUGGGCCCCUGCCAAAACCUUUCCCUCUUUGCAGUGUUCUAAGCAAUGUGCUGACCCAAAAGAAACCACUCUUUGAUGCCAGCCCACCAGCGGAUCAUGUAACGCUAGCCAGCUCAUCCCCAAUAUAAUGGGAGCUCCUCCCAAGGUGGCCACAUUAAAUGCUAUUAGUUCGGUGUGCCUUGCCACCUUCAUUAUCAUUGGGACGGUCUGCAAGCUGACUUCUCCUCCCAACAGCUCCCUGCCAUCGAUCGUGGUUACCUGCAGGGGGUUGCUUAAAGGGAGCGUCUGUAUCUGGUGUUCAGCUGCAAACUCUUUGCUCAUGAAAUUGCAGGAGCUGCCUGAGUCCAACAGCGCCUUUAUCUUUAGAGGGUGUCCGUUUGGCAGCUCUAGUGUCACUUCUAUCACUAGGGCGGGUUUAGGAGGUUCUGGCGUGGGCACUUUCACUGCUCUUUGGCCUGGCUGCUGUGCCCCGACAAUGGCAGCCAGGCGUUGGCUUUUAGUUGCUCCGGUAUUUUUCCUCUCUUCCCUCCACAGCUCCCACCAUCCCUUGCCAUUCCUUCCUCUGGGGGCAGACUCUGGCAAAGUGCCCUGGCUGUUGGCAGAGAUAGCAUUUCCGGGCGCCUUUUCCCUCCUUUUUUCCCCCCUCACUGGGCUUUGAAACUGCGCGCGCGCGCUGUUCCGAUUUCCAUCGGCUCUGCCGGCGGGAAAGUUGGCUCUGGAAUGUCUGGAAUGCGGAACUCCUUCCAACGUUCCCCUUUCCCUUCCCGCCUCUCCAAUGCUCUCGCCUCCUGGCGCGCUCCUAUGGCCAGCGCUGAUUUGGUCAGCUGGUCCAUAGACUCCGCCCUGGGCGCCCGGGAAAGUUCAUCUUUCACAGCCGAAGAAAGCCCUUCUUCAAAGAGCAUUUGAAUGGGUUCCGCCGAUAAGUCCCACCCCAAUCUGUGUAUCAGCAUGGUGAACUCAGUCCAGUACUCACGUACAGAUCGGCUCCCCUGUUUGCAAGCCAUUAACUGUCUGCGCACCACUCCCUUUUCAAUAUCGCUGGAAAACAUCAGAUCCAUGGCGCGAAAGAACUUCAUCGUGUCCUUUAGGACGUCACUAUGCGCUGCCAUCAGGGGUCUAACCCAGUCUCUCGCCCCCUUUUCAAGAUGCCCAAUCACAAAAGCCACUCGUGAUUCCUCAUCAGGGAAUCAUCAAACUGCAGAUUGAGGGCAUAUUGCAUUUCUGUCCGAAAGCUAUGAUAGUCUUUGGGCUCCCCCCCAAAUUUCUGCACCAAUCCUGGUACCUUUCUGGCGAGCUGGGUGGCUUUCUCCCUGUUGUCUGCAUCUUGAGCCCUCCUCUCCUCCAGCCUCGCCGUCUGCAGCGCCAGCUGGACCUCCAACACCCGGUACCUUUCUUCCAGGCUUGGACCCGCUCCAGCCCCUGCUUCUCCGGUUCCUGCUGGGUUGCUCAUUAUGCCUUCUCCUGCACAAGCUGCGUUCAAAGACUGUCGGAAUGCUGUGAUGGGAAGAUGAGCUGCUUGUGCGUAAAAUCGUAUUCCCUCAGUGUUUGUUCAAGUCCACAAACCUCUGUCUGUGACGGAGCCCCUCUGACAUGGCUCCUCUAGUCACUAGAAGAUUCCGACAGUGGUUGCUUUCGUAAUCGCUUCCAACAUAAAAGCUCCUUAACGGAAACACGUCUUCUGGACUCUCUGCGUGACAGUUUCCGGCGAGGAGUGGGUGUCCCUACAGGAGGUCCGGAAACCUCACCACUGUUUUCGCUGGAAGUAUCUCUGAGCCAUCCCCCAGCUCCCUUUCCCUCAGUUCAGCUUCUCCCCCCUGCUGGUUUCCUCUUCAGCUGCUGAGUCUCUUCCAACCUGUCUGAGCCCUUUCACCUCCCUCAGUUCAGCUUCUCUCCCCUUGCUGGUUCCCUGUUCAGCUGCUGAGUCUCUUCCAACCUGUCUGAGUCCUUUCACCUCCCUUCCUUCCGAUGGCAGUUCCCUGACA